CAAGCACUUAUUGGAGGAAUAUUCUCGCAAAGCAUUGUGUUAGGUACUGAGAAGAGUGCAGAAAGAUAGAAUCCAUAGUCUUGAUGUCAAAGAGCUUAUAAGCUGCUUGGAGAGACAAAUUAUAGAUAUAUGAAUAGCAAUAAAAGCAGCCUGUACUUAGGAAACCUAUACUUAUACAGACAACACACAUGUGACAUAUAUAAAAGAGACAGAGCAUUAGGUUGGAAACAUUUGGAAAAAGGAAGGCUCUGGGACUUGAGAUGGGCUUUGAAAUAAAGCUAUUCUGGAGAAAAGAGGAAAUUGGAGAAUUCUUGGAGCACUGCUUGUGGUAGAUGAGGCCAUGAUAAAGGAAGAGAAGGCAGAACUACUCCACUCUUAAUUUUGUUUCAAUUCUACAACAAGCAAGUGAUUAUGAAGUGUUUCCUAUGCAAGAGGAACUGUGUUUGAUGCAGGGGACACACAGAAAAAGAAACUGACCUGUCAUCAAAAAACUUAUGUUCUAUUGGAUAUUUAUCUUGUAAAACGGCUACCAUUGAGAGCCAGAAAGAAGUUUGCAACAGCUGAACAACAGUUUUUGCGCUGACUUUCAUCAUAAUGCAAAGGUUCUCAUCCAGUCCUCUAUGUGACCAACUGACUGCAUUUACAAAGUUCCUGGCCUAGAAUUAGGGGGCUCACUUCUAAUAACAAAGCAGAAUAAUUUUCCAUGUGAAGCAAACAGGGAAACGUGAGGAUCAAACCUGCAUCCAUGGCUAAAAUGUCUAUGAUGAUUCAUCGAACAUGAGAGAUUUAUGGUUAUUAUUUCCUAAAGGUCACAUAGCAUGUUCAGAUUGAUGCUGGGAACAGAAUCCAGAUCUUCAGACUUCUUCAAUGACAUAUAUAUCCACUUAUUUCUGCCUUUUUUCACUAUUUCCUUUCCUAUUAUGGCCAUGAAAAAAAUAAUGCCUGCCCCAUGUCUUGUUCUAUGGCCCUGGGAAACUGUUCUUAUUGAGGGACUCCCUCUCAUUAGAAGAGAUGUCCCGGGCUUUACAGAACCCCAUAGGGCAAGAAAUAAGAUGGGAAAUA